rfam:Dufourea novaeangliae contig1907, whole genome shotgun sequence.
UCCCAGGCCUUUCUCAAGGCUACCCAUGUUCAGAAGGAAGCUUCCU